rnacentral:rRNA from 1 species
UCGAGCGAGAAAGGGGCUUCGGCCCUGAGUAAAGCGGCGGACGGGUGAGUAACACGUAGGUAAUCUUCCCUUGAGCGGGGGACAACGAUUCGAAAGGAUCGCUAAUACCGCAUAAGUUCCCAGAGACCCCGGUCUUUGGGAGGAAAGCUAGGCCGCAAGGUCCGGCACUCGAGGAGGAGCCUGCGUCGCAUCAGCUAGUUGGUGGGGUAAUGGCCUACCAAGGCGAAGACGCGCAGCUGGUCUGAGAGGAUGAUCAGCCACACUGGGACUGAGACACGGCCCAGACUCCUACGGGAGGCAGCAGUGGGGAAUAUUGGACAAUGGGCGCAAGCCUGAUCCAGCCACGCCGCGUGAGUGAUGAAGGCCUUCGGGUCGUAAAGCUCUGUGGGGAGGGACGAACCGCUGCUGGUUCAUAGCCAGCAGCAUGACGGUACCUCCUUAGCAAGCACCGGCUAACUUCGUGCCAGCAGCCGCGGUAAUACGAAGGGUGCAAACGUUG